rnacentral:rRNA from 1 species
CCUACGGGUGGCUGCAGUGGGGAAUAUUGGGCAAUGGGCGCAAGCCUGACCCAGCCACGCCGCGUGAGCGAUGAAGGCCUUCGGGUUGUAAAGCUCUGUGGGAAGGGGCGAAAGGCGGACGUGCUAAUAGUACUCCGUUUGACGGUACCUUCUUAGCAAGCACCGGCUAACUCUGUGCCAGCAGCCGCGGUAAGACAGAGGGUGCAAACGUUGCUCGGAUUUACUGGGCGUAAAGCGCGUGUAGGCGGGAAGAAAAGUCGGGUGUGAAAUCCCUG